CAAAUUUCUGAAGUUUCUUUGUUGACAUUGAAUAAUAUUUCUCUCACAAAUGGACACCCAACGUGAUGUGAACCCUAGCUUGAAUUCGUCGAUUAUCUCAGCCGCUCCUUCUCAACGUAUCGGAACUCUAUGGAUCCGAUCGCCGCUGCAAAGAACAAGAAGAAGAGAACCUUUUCUUAUGAAGCUACUUCAAAUGUUCAAGAUGACUCCGUCGCACACCAUCCUGCCUCUUUCACUUUUCCAACUAGAAUUGACGCUAUGUGUAAGUCCAUUGUUGAGGAUGCGGUUACUCGAUCGCGGUCUCAAAUGGAAGAACCUAGGAUUGGAGAAGUAGUUAAGCGAUUCUAUGAUGAAAUAUGGCCGAAAGUGGAAAAUGAUUUUCGUCAACAGGUGUUCAAAGAAGUACAGAGGAUGAUACACUCUGCCAUUCACUCCGCUAUUUCACCAUCACUAAGCAUACAACAUAGGAGCGAACAAGAGGAAAUACUUAAGCCAUCUAAAACAUUGAAGCGCAGAUUAUUUUUUCUCAAUUCAUUUCCCUCUGUCAUUUUCACCAACAACGAAAUAAAAUCUGAAGAUGGUGAGCCAUUGAAAGUUGCAAUUUGUGAUACCACCAACUGCAACUCUAUUGUCUCGACCAGUCCUUUAUCGUCUGUCCAAGUCGAGUUGUGCAUCCUCCCUGGUGAGUUUGAUUCUAGCAAUCGACGAGAUGAAGAAACACCAUGGACAUCGAGUUAUUUCAACACAAGCAUCUUGACCCCAAGAGAUGGGAAACGUCCUUUGAUCAUUGGUAAUGAUCGCCAAGUUUACCUAAAAGAUGGAGUUGGGUUCAUCAACAAUUUGAUCAUCACUGACAAUUCAAGUUGGAUGAAAUCAAAGAAGUUCAGAUUGGGAGCUAAAAUUACAGAUGAAAGAAUUCCAGCCGGGUUUGGUCGAAUUGGAGAAGCUGUAUCCCAACCUUUUAGAGUCAUGGAUCAACGGGGGGAAGUGAACCAAAAGCAUCACCCUCCACGUAUGGAUGAUGAAGUAUGGCGAUUGGAAGGAAUUGCGAAAUAUGGUAUCUAUCACAAAAACUUGUCUUCCCAAGGCAUAAAGACUGUGGGGGAUUUCUUGAAGGCUUAUCAUCAAAAUAAUAAUCCCAACACUUUGAGGACGAUGCUGGGGAAGAGAGUGUUAGACAAGACAUGGAAGAUGAUGGUUCAAAAUGCUGAGGAGUGUGUUGUUCCAAUUGAUAAUAAUCAAAUCGUUCAGGCCAAUGGUCCAGUGAAAUUUAAUCACGUCAUGGAUGACUCCGCAAUUAAAGACUUUGGAUUGAUGUCAGAUUUUAUUGAAUGGCCUGACGUUACUGAAGAAUUUUUUCUCCCUGUUCAAGGGGUUCUUCAUAGUCUUCUUCAAUGAUCUCCCAAAGAUCUUGAGAAAUUAUAAAAAUGGUUCAUUUGAGAAAUGGCACUGCAAUACUGAAUUUUUUAAAGGACUACAAUGUUGAGUUUGAAAAGUCAAGAACCGAUAUGAGUUGAAAAGCCAAAACUCAAGGAGUUAUAUAGCUUAAGCUCAAAUGUUGCCCAAGAAGUACGCUUUUUUUUUUUAUAUAUAUAUUUUAUCUUUUAAUAUGUAGCUGAAGCUUCAAACAUUUGUGAAGUGGAUGAUGAAACUCAGUAUCAAAAACUUCAGAUCAAGGUUAGGCCGAAACCCAAGUGAACUCCAACAAAUGGUCAUAUAUUAUCUUAUAAUUUGUAUGAUCAACUCUUGUUUUUAAUACAUAAUGGUCAAGGGGAAACUUGUUUGAUUGAUUUAUAUAUGCAAGUAAUGUUCUACAACUAUCAUUUCGUUAAUUAUAUAUCUAUGAUUAUGUGGCUGCUCA